AAGGAACCCAUUUCGAGCUUUUUCCUUUUGAGUAAGUUUUCUGUUUUCUCUCUCUUUUUUAUGCGUUUUUUAUUUAUUUUCUGUUGAUUUGAUCUUGUUUUUAGCUCCUAAUCUGAUUAGGGUUGUGUUUUUUAUGAGUUUUGUUGAUGUGGUUUUGAUAUUUUUUUUUUUUGGCAUAUAAUAUCUGCAUUUUGUUAGCUGGGUUGUUUUAUUUGUCUGGUUUUGUUUUACAUAAUUUUUU
rnacentral:lncRNA from 1 species